rnacentral:rRNA from 1 species
GGAUUAGAUACCCUGGUAGUCCACGCCGUAAACGAUGAGAACUAGAUGUCGGGAGGAUCUGCCUUUCGGUGUCGCAGCUAACGCGUUAAGUUCUCCGCCUGGGGAGUACGCCGGCAACGGUAAAACUCAAAGGAAUUGACGGGGACCCGCACAAGCGGUGGAGCAUGUGGUUUAAUUCGAUGCAACGCGAAGAACCUUACCUGCCCUUGACAUACUCGGAACUUUCCAGAGAUGGAUUGGUGCCUUCGGGAACCGAGAUACAGGUGCUGCAUGGCUGUCGUCAGCUCGUGCCG